rnacentral:rRNA from 1 species
UACGAGGGGGGCUAGCGUUGCUCGGAAUCACUGGGCGUAAAGCGCACGUAGGCGGCUUUUUAAGUCAGAGGUGAAAUCCUGGAGCUCAACUCCAGAACUGCCUUUGAUACUGGAGAGCUUGAGUCCGGGAGAGGUGAGUGGAACUGCGAGUGUAGAGGUGAAAUUCGUAGAUAUUCGCAAGAACACCAGUGGCGAAGGCGGCUCACUGGCCCGGUACUGACGAUGAGGUGCGAAAGCGUGGGGAGCAAACAGG